UACGUAGGGUGCAAGCGUUGUCCGGAAUUAUUGGGCGUAAAGAGCUCGUAGGCGGUUUGUCGCGUCUGCUGUGAAAACGCGAGGCUCAACCUCGCGCCUGCAGUGGGUACGGGCAGACUGGAGUGCGGUAGGGGAGAUUGGAAUUCCUGGUGUAGCGGUGGAAUGCGCAGAUAUCAGGAAGAACACCCGUGGCUAAGGCGGCUCUCUAGUACGGUACUGACGCUGAGACGCGAAAGCGUGGGGAGCGAACAGG
rnacentral:rRNA from 1 species